rnacentral:rRNA from 1 species
UACGUAGGGUGCAAGCGUUAUCCGGAAUUAUUGGGGCGUAAAGAGCUCGUAGGCGGUUUGUCGCGUCUGCUGUGAAAACUGGGGGGCUCAACCCCCAGCCUGCAGUGGGUACGGGCAGACUAGAGUGCGGUGGGGGAGAUUGGAAUUCCUGGUGUAGCGGUGGAAUGCGCAGAUAUCAGGAGGAACACCGAUGGCGAAGGCAGGUCUCUGGGCCG